rnacentral:lncRNA from 10 species
UAGUUACAAUUUAAGAAGCUCCUGCUCUAUGUUCAAUACUUGCAAAACACUUUAGAAAGUCUGAUUUAUUACUUGCCCAGCCCUGCAAGGUUGGUGCUAUUGUUCUUGUCUUUUCAGAUGUGGUACCUGGGGCUCCAGUGAUAUAAGCCACUCGGCUUGGAAGGGGCGAAGUUGGCAUUUACGUCCAGGCCUAUUGGGUUCCUGAGCUUCAGCUCUGAACCCCCUGGGGCUUGAGGGCUGCGGGGCCUCCCUGCAGACAGGCUGGCACUUUCAGGGUGGUAGCAGCAGCCUAGGGGUUGGGUGUGAUGAGUUGGUAGGGGCACUCUCUUCCCUCGCAGUCAGGUCUCUCAACAACUCCUACUUGGGAUCCAUAACCUGGUGGGUAGGGAGCACCUGUUUCUGGGUCCCAAGCUCCCUGCUCCUUCUUAUGUGCUGUGGAAAUGUGAAGAGGUCACCAUGGCAACCUACACAGCUGGAGACUGCUUUGGGCCC